GUUCGACACGGCAAUACGCAUGCGCGAGCCGGGAGACGGCAGUACGCAUGCGCUAAGUUAUAGACGGUAGUAUGCAUGCGCGAGUCCCGAGAAGGUAGUACGCAUGCGCGAGAUCAUGGACGGUAGUACGCAUGCGCGGCACUACGGACAGCAGUACGCAUGCGCGAGCCGGGAUACAGCAGUACACAUGCGCGACAUUAUAGACGGCAGUACGCAUGCGCGAGCCUGGAGACGGUAGUGGCAGCAGAUACCGUGGAAACAACAACUCUGCCGCCUUUUAGCGGACUGCCUGGGACCGUGGGCGCGCAUCCCCUCCUCUCUUUUUUUUCUUGGCAGAGGAUGGUGGGAGGAAGAAGGGGAGACGACAAAGAAAAGCAAGGAAAACUUCGACAAACCCUCCAACCCCGUGCUAAAUGCUUUGGUAUACCUGUAAAUAAAUGAAU
ensembl:lncRNA